rnacentral:rRNA from 1 species
GACGAACGCUGGCGGCGUGCCUAAUACAUGCAAGUCGAACGGUAACAGGCCUGAAAGGGUGCUGACGAGUGGCGGACGGGUGAGUAAAGCGGAGGGAUCUGGCUGGUUGAGGGGGAUAGCUUAGGGAAACUUAAGGUAAUACCGCAUAAGCCCGAGAGGGGAAAGCAGGGGACUGUGAAAGGCCUUGUGCGAUGAGAUGAACAUACGUCGGAUUAGCUAGUUGGUAAGGUAAAGGCUUACCAAGGAAAUGAUCCGUAGCUGGUCGGAGAGGACGACCAGCCACACUGGGACUGAGACACGGCCCAGACUCCUACGGGAGGCAGCAGUGGGGAAUAUUGGACAAUGGGCGGAAGCCUGAUCCAGCAAUGCCGCGUGUGUGAAGAAGGCCUGCGGGUUGUAAAGCACUUUCAGAGGGGAGAAGGAAGCCAUUUUGAAUAGAGAUGGUGGAAGAUGUUACCUUCAGAAGAAGCACCGGCUAACUCUGUGCCAGCCGCCGCCGUAG